UGCCAGACUCCUACGGGAGGCAGCAGUGAGGAAUAUUGGUCAAUGGGCUUACGCCUGAACCAGCCAAGUCGCGUGAGGGAAGACUGCCCUAUGGGUUGUAAACCUCUUUUGUCAGGGAGCAACGCCGGCUACGUGUAGCCGGACUGAGAGUACCUGAAGAAAAAGCAUCGGCUAACUCCGUGCCAGCAGCCGCGGUAAUACGGAGGAUGCGAGCGUUAUCCGGAUUUAUUGGGUUUAAAGGGUGCGUAGGCGGCUGAGUAAGACAGAUGUGAAAUCCCCGGGCUUAACCUGGGAACCGCAUAUGUGACUGCUUGGCUAGAGUGCGUCAGAGGGAGGUGGAAUUCCACGUGUAGCAGUGAAAUGCGUAG
rnacentral:rRNA from 1 species